rnacentral:rRNA from 1 species
GAUUCCUACGGGAGGCAGCAGUGGGGAAUAUUGCACAAUGGGCGAAAGCCUGAUGCAGCGACGCCGCGUGAGGGAUGACGGCCUUCGGGUUGUAAACCUCUUUCAGCAGGGACGAAGCGCAAGUGACGGUACCUGCAGAAGAAGCACCGGCUAACUACGUGCCAGCAGCCGCGGUAAUAAUC